GAUGAACGCUGGCGGCGUGCCUAAUACAUGCAAGUCGAGCGAACAGACGAGGAGCUUGCUCCUCUGGCGUUAGCGGCGGACGGGUGAGUAACACGUGGAUAACCUACCUAUAAGACUGGGAUAACUUCGGGAAACCGGAGCUAAUACCGGACAAUAUAUUGAACCGCAUGGUUCAAUAGUGAAAGACGGUUUUGCUGUCACUUAUAGAUGGAUCCGCGCCGCAUUAGCUAGUUGGUAAGGUAACGGCUUACCAAGGCAACGAUGCGUAGCCGACCUGAGAGGGUGAUCGGCCACACUGGAACUGAGACACGGUCCAGACUCCUACGGGAGGCAGCAGUAGGGAAUCUUCCGCAAUGGGCGAAAGCCUGACGGAGCAACGCCGCGUGAGUGAUGAAGGUCUUCGGAUCGUAAAACUCUGUUAUUAGGGAAGAACAAAUGUGUAAGUAACUAUGCACGUCUUGACGGUACCUAAUCAGAAAGCCACGGCUAACUACGUG
rnacentral:rRNA from 1 species